rnacentral:rRNA from 1 species
GACGAACGCUGGCGGCGUGCUUAACACAUGCAAGUCGAACGGAAAGGCGCUGCUUUUGUGGCGUGCUCGAGUGGCGAACGGGUGAGUAACACGUGAGUAACCUGCCCUUGACUUUCGGAUAACUUCAGGAAACUGGGGCUCAUACCGCAUAGGAGCUCCUGCUGCAUGGUGUGGGAUGGAAAGAUUCGGCGGUUGGGGAUGGACUCGAGGCUUGUCCGCCUGAUGGUGGGGUAGUGGCUUACCAAGGCUUCGAGGGGUACACGGCCUGAGAGGGUGACCGGCCUCAUUGGGACUGAGAUACGGCCCAGACGCUGACGGGAAGCAGCAGUGGAGAAUAUUACAGAAUAGGCGGAAGCCAGAUGCAGCAGCGACGGGUGCGGAAUGACGGCCUUCGGGGUGUAAACCGCUUUGGACUGUAAAGAGACGGGAGUGACGGUAAUGAGUCAAAAAGCACCGGCUAACUACGUG